GUGAUCCUAUUUCUAAAAAAACCCAUCAAAACUAGAAUUAAAUUACAUGAUUAAUGCCAGUACUGACAGGAUGCAUUUAGCACAUCAUAGAUUUAGAAAUUAAGUUUAAAUCAAAUGACUAAGAAAAAAGAAGAAAACCAUUGUCUAGCUAUAAUUAUAUCUUGAAUUACAGAGGGCGAGUCCGAGUGUCAAAAUAGAUCAGUUAUAGAUUGAUAUAAAACUAUAAACAUAGUCCCAUGGUGUAAAUGUUAUUGAAUAUUUAUAGCCAUAUAAUUCCAGAAGGAGGUCACAAUUAGAUAGUCGAGCUUCGCGAUUAACCUUUCCCCCAGAAAGCAUAAACUGACCAAGUUUGAUGGUCCUAAGCCUAAAUACACAAACAAGCUAACAGAUGGACAGACGAAACUCCGGACGGACGGACGGACAAUCAAGCAUAUAACAUAAAUCAAUGUUCAGCCCAAUGACAUCAAAUAUUACCUGGAGUAUAAAAAUAGAACUGGUAUUUUGUAUUCUAAAAAUAAACGUGACAUACACCACAUGUAACACUUUCCACAUCUUGUACGCUCAGACGAGCGCCAUUCACUGAAGAGGAAACCGUUGUUUGGAAUAAUUAGAUAUCGAGUAAUAAGAUUUCUUUCAACAUGGCUAGCUGUUCGAGAAUCUGCAUGUUUUUUUUACUAUAGUCUUGGAAGUAGCUGACCUCAUUCUGGACUGGGACUUUUACGUUGAGAUAAAAAAUACAAACCUUAUCGCGCAAGAAAUUGUAUAUUGUAUUCUUGGUUUUGCAUUCCUGGGAUCGCUACUUUUUCUGUGCACAGUGAUUACGAAGAUUGUCAUCAUUUGUGAUAACGAUUAUGAUGAAGAAAAUGACACAUGUACUACAGUUCUUUCCUUGCUAUCCACUGUUUUUGAAGAUUUUCCACAAAUCAUCCUCGCACUGUUCGUUGCGUUUAACACGAAGGACUUACUGUCUCCUGUUCAAAUUGCAAAGGCUGUAUAUGGAAUCAUUGAACCGAUAAUCCAGAUCAUAUUAAAUGCGAGAGAGUACUCGAAAUUGAAGAAAAAGAUGUGGGAUGAUAACACUUGUCUCAAAGGGUGCAAAAUAACUGAAAUCCUCGCUAGUGUCGUCAUCAUUAUCUGUUCCGUUAUAUUGCUCGUAGAUCUUGUCCUGCAUCUCUGAAUAUACCUUCUGUAAGAGAUUAAUUGUCAGAUAAUAAUAUAAUGUCUAGGAAAAGGGCCUACAAAAUAUUCGAUGUAUUUACAUAUUAUUAAAUGAAACAUACAUAAGAACAGUAUAAAAAGAAUGGAUUAAUUGUCAUCAUCUUGAGAAAGUGUAUAAAAUGAUUGUUAUUUUGUGGAAAUAGGUAAAAUGUAUUAUAUAUAUUUAUUUGUAAUGAAGCAUAUUGUCUGUGAUAAUGCAAAUAAAUAAUCACCUGGUA